rnacentral:misc_RNA from 1 species
GAUGAAGAACGUAGCGAAAUGCGAUACGUAGUGUGAAUUGCAGAAUUCAGUGAAUCAUCGAAUCUUUGAACGCACAUUGCACCUCUCGGUAUUCCGGGAGGUAUGCCUGUUCGAGCGUCAUUUGUACCCUCAAGCUCUGCUUGGUGUUGGGUGUUUGUACCGCCUCUGUGUGUGAACUCGCCUCAAAACAAUUGGCAGCCGGCGUACUUGUUUCGGAGCGCAGCACAUUUUGCGAUCCAGAUCAACGUACAGCGGCAUCCAAGAAGCCUUAUUUAACGCUCUUGACCUCGGAUCAGGUAGGGAUACCCGCUGAACUUAAGCAUAUCAAUAGCGGAGGA